GACGUAGGGCGCGAGCGUUGUCCGGAUUUAUUGGGCGUAAAGAGCUCGUAGGCGGCUUGUCGCGUCGACUGUGAAAACUCGGGGCUCAACUCCGAGCUUGCAGUCGAUACGGGCAGGCUAGAGUUCGGUAGGGGAGACUGGAAUUCCUGGUGUAGCGGCGAAAUGCGCAGAUAUCAGGAGGAACACCGAUGGCGAAGGCAGGUCUCUGGGCCGAUACUGACGCUGAGGAGCGAAAGCGUGGGGAGCGAACAGG
rnacentral:rRNA from 1 species